AACGAACGCUGGCGGCAGGCCUAACACAUGCAAGUCGAGCGCCCCGCAAGGGGAGCGGCGGACGGGUGAGUAAUAGGUAGGUAACCUACCUCAUACUGAGGCAUAGCUGGGAGAAAUUCCAGGUAAUUCCUCAUGAGGUUAUAUGACACAUGUGAUAUAAUCAAAGGUAUCGCAAGGUACUGGUAUGAGAUGGGCUUACUGACCAUUAGCUAGUUGGUGAGAUAAGAGCUCACCAAGGCGAAGAUGGUUAGGGGUUUUGAGAGAGAGAUCCCCCACAUUGGAACUGAGAUACGGUCCAGACUCCUACGGGAGGCAGCAGUAGGGAAUAUUGGGCAAUGGGCGGAAGCCUGACCCAGCCAUGCCGCGUGAAGGAAGACGGCCUUAUGGGUUGUAAACUUCUUUACUAUGCGACUAACUAGAUUUACGAGAUAAUUCUAUAGAAUGUAGCAUAGCAAAAAGCACCGGCUAACUCCGUGCCAGCAGCCGC
rnacentral:rRNA from 1 species